rnacentral:rRNA from 1 species
AGUGAACGCUGGCGGUAGGCCUAACACAUGCAAGUCGAACGGCAGCACAGUAAGAGCUUGCUCUUACGGGUGGCGAGUGGCGGACGGGUGAGGAAUACAUCGGAAUCUACUUUUUCGUGGGGGAUAACGUAGGGAAACUUACGCUAAUACCUCAUACGACCUACGGGUGAAAGCAGGGGAUCUUCGGACCUUGCGCGAUUGAAUGAGCCGAUGUCGGAUUAGCUAGUUGGCGGGGUAAAGGCCCACCAAGGCGACGAUCCGUAGCUGGUCUGAGAGGAUGAUCAGCCACACUGGAACUGAGACACGGUCCAGACUCCUACGGGAGGCAGCAGUGGGGAAUAUUGGACAAUGGGCGCAAGCCUGAUCCAGCCAUACCGCGUGGGUGAAGAAGGUCUUCGGGUUGUAAAGCCCUUUUGUUGGGAAAGAAAAGCAGCAGGUUAAUACCCCGAUGUUCUGACGGUACCCAAAGAAUAAGCACCGGCUAACUUCGUG